ensembl:lncRNA
GUUUGGGGGCAGGAGGAGAAGGGGACGAGAGAGGAUGAGAUGUCUGGAUGGCAUCACUGACUCGAUGGACGUGAGUCUGUGUGAACUCCGGGAGUUUGUGAUGGACAGGGAGGCCUGGUGUGCUGCUAUUCAUGGAGUCGCAAAGAGUCGGACAUGACUGAGCGACUGAACUGAACUGAAUACAUUUGGGGAGCAAUAAUUUCAAGUCAAAUAACUGUUUCUUUCUACAUAACUGCUGCUGUCAUGAAUAUACAACUGUGUAUCCUGCUUUGUGGGCUUCCCAGGUGGCUCAUUGGUAAAAGAAUCCGCCUGCAAUGCAGGAGACUGGAGUUCAAGCCCUGGGUUGGGAAGAUCCCUGGAGAAGGAAAUGGCAACCCACUCCAGUACUCUUGCCUGGACAAUCCCAUGGACAGAGGAGCCUGGUGGGCUACAGUCCACAGGGUUGCAAAAGAGUCAGACAUGUCUUAGUGACUAAACAACAACAUCCUGCUUUGUAUCCAUGGUGGAAAAUGCCCCCAUAUUAAUGAAACUUUGCUGAAAUAUUAUCUUAAAGUUUAAGGAGAGUGUGACUCCCACACAUCAGAAAGGCCAGGUUCCCUACACAGCCAGUGCUGGAAGCAAGUGGUUGGGCAAACCCCCAUCUUCUUCUAGAUACAGAACAUCCUUGCUCAUCAUCACAGUCCUGAUCCAGGGUGGGGUGGUGCUGAAGAGAGGGGUCUCAUGGCUUCUAAUCCGAUGCUGAUUACUCAUCUUAUUUUUGCCAUAGUUGAAACAUGACAUUGUUUCUGCUCUCUGCCUUUCUUUCCCACUUGAUGAUUGCCAAGAUACUUUCAUCUCUAAAAUGCUCUGUCUCCAGACUUAGUUCCUUAGUACCAUGGAGCACAGGCUUCCCAGGUGGCUGAGCGGUGAGGAAUCCACCUGCAAUGCAGGAGACCCAGGUUCAAUCCCUGGGUCGGAAGAUCCCCUGGAGAAGGGAAUGGCUACCCACUCCAGUGUUCUUGCCUGGAGAAUCCCAUGGACAGAGGAGGCUGGUGGGCUACAGUCCAGAGGGUUGCAAAGAGUCGGACACGACUGAUGCAACUGAGCGCACACGCACACACCAGGGAGCACAGGCUCUUCUCUCCCUGCCCCUCCUUCCCUCUUCCUUCUUCCGUUUUUGUUCUUUCGAUGCCUUUCUAUUGCAUUGCUUGCUCUCUUUCAGACCCUGAUUUAUUUUUCUCACAUCGCAUUUAUAAUCACCCUGUAAAAUAGGCACUCCUAUUAUUAUCCUCAAGUGAUAGACAAGGCAAGCAAAGUCCAGAGGGGCUGAGGGGUAAGUCGGGGAAGCUGAGCACUGCGCUGUCCUCCAGUGACUCUCCUGGAGACCGGCUGCUUGUGGGAGAACCAGCAGUCAGCCUGCCAGGCCAGUCUGCGGGUCACUCACUCACUCAUGGGCUCCCUGGUCACAGUAGGCCGAGGACAUCCCUGUAUUAAGCCUCAGAAGGAAACGUGUUUCAUGGCAGAGGGUAACUCAGGUCGCAGGUGAAAGUGCUUCCUAAUCAGAGGUCCGUAGCGGAGGCGAUUCCCUGUGAGUCAGGUGGACCCAGUAGAAUCUUUAAGAGAGGAAGCGGGAGGCGAGGAGGAGUUAGUGUCUAGGGUCUACAGCUGGCGUCAGCCUUGCAGGAUAGCGGGGUCAAGAGUCCCAGGGUGCAGGCAGCCUCCAGAAGCUGGAAAAUGUCCAGGGAUGACGGAUUCUCCUCUGGAGGGUCCAGGAAGAAGUCCAGCCCUGCCGACCACCUGACCUUAGGCCCGUGAGCCUCUCCUCGAUUUCUGACCUCCAGAACGGAAACGUGUGGAACGCACUCUCCCGAGAAGUGUCCUGAAACAGACGGAGCCACGGACGCCUCUAGAUGUUUUCUUGGAUGUCACGUCCCUUGAAGCUGGUUUUGAAGAAAGACUGAUUGUUAAUGCUGCUGCUGGUUUAUCAGAGCUGAUGGAGCUGAGAUGACCCCAGCACAGACCUUCAGAUGUCUCAGGUGUUUGCCAUGGAUCACGUUGGGAUUCCAGAAGCAUUCAGAAAGUGCAGACCUUCACCUUUUUACACACCACGCCAAAGCAGUUCUUCCAAUUUUCCAAUCAGCUCUGCAUUCUUCAGGUCCCUGCUGUUGGAAAUUCUCACAGGUCCUGAGGUACCACAAAGGCACUGAAAUCCUCCGGAUAAUCGCUUCAGGGAGGGCAAUUACAGCUCCCAGUUCUCAUUUCCACAUUUCCACCAGCCACAGGCUUAUGUUCAGGUGAAAUUGCUUUAAACUGGAGUAGCCUCUGGCCAUAUGACGACCAUGCGGUCCAGGUGUGGAGUCUCGGGCACCCUCAGCUCCACUUGUGUGCCUGUUUCCCUUGGCCAGCCCCGCGGCAGUUUCCUCUCAGCUUCUUACAUCAUGCCGAUCGUCCAGUGUUGGCGGGAACGUUGCUUGUAGCCAUCACCUCUUUGAGCAUCUCCAUUGCCCGUGAUCUUCAGAACCUUGCCACUGCCAUCACAUUCCAAGAUGGUACCUCUGGUCUACCUGGAAGACCCUUUCCUCUCCUCUAGAACUGCCGGCACCCCAAGAUCCCAGAGAUCUGUGUGUCCUGGGCCACCUUCUUAGUUCUCGAAGUCUUAACCUCGGGCCUGGUGUCCUUCCAGCAGGAAUGCGGAGCCAUCGCCCAAUGGCAUAUCUACAGUGACUGUGCGUUUUUUAUACAUAAUUUUACUUACUGGCUUAUUGUUUGGCUGUGCUGGAUCUUCACUGGCACACGGGCUUUUCUCUAGUCGUGGAGAGUGGGGGCUACUCUCCAGCUGCCAGGCACAGGCUUCUCCUCGCAGCGCUUCUCUUGCUGUGGAGCAGGGGUUCGGGGGCCUGGGCUUUAGUAGCUGUGGCAUGUGGCCUCAGUAUUUGUGGUUCCUGGGCCCCAGAACUCGGGCUCAGUAUUUGUAGCACAUGGGCUCAGCUGCUCCAUGACAUGUGGGAUCUUCCCGGACCAAGGAUCGAACCCACGUCUCCUGAAGUGGCAGGUGCAUUCUUCACCACUGAGCCACCGGGGAAUCCCUAUGAUGACUAUUCUUCUUAUCCGUGUUAUAGUUCACUCAGGGACUGUGUUAAUACUUGCAUAGAUUAUUUGGUGAUUUCUCGCAAUAACCCCAUCCAUGUCUACUAUGAUCCUCUUUUCCAAGUGAGCGGUGAAAAGGCUGGGAAGGUUUGAGUCAAUCGCUCCAGGGCUACUGUAUGGCAGAGAAGAAUUCAAACCCAGGUCCAGAUCUUGGGCUCCGGACCUCUCUGUUCUAUUGUCCCACCUAAAGAUCCGUGUCAAGGCUCCAGCUUUCUUACAUCAUGCACAAACAUUCAGCAUCCCCCAGGGCCGUUAAAGGCUGGUCAACUCCUUUAGCCUCCGUACUGCAGACCUUGGGGUUCUCAGCACCAUGGGGAGAGCAAGUGAGCAAUCACCUCUCGCCCUCUGGGGCCACACUAUCACUCCUUUGCAAAGAAAAAGAAGUUCGAGUCCUGGAAACAAAAUGGGACCCUCUGAUUUGGAGUCAUAGACUCACUUUCAGGGUGAUAAUCUGUCAGGGUCAAGAGCAAGAAGAAAAGGGAAAAUCAGAGGAAUUAGCAAAUUAGUGUUUUAGGUCUAACUGGAGGUGAGCCAUCAUUUGUGAAUUAAGUUGACAUCACUUAGAUGACUUUACAGGCACGCAGCUCGAUAGUAGACGUUGCCAGUGUUUAUUUGCACAGAUGCAAUGGAGAAAAACAUUUCCGUGGGGUCAUGUUAGCCCAGCUGAUGGACUGAUAAGGGGAGCCGCACCAUCUGUUGACCGCCAAGCCUCGAAGUCCUUUUGGGAUCACCGUCAACCACACUUAGGAUAAUAUGAGAGGAAAUGGAUCAUUUUGGUUUCUCCCUCAUUCAAGCUUUAAUUUAUAUUUUAAACCAAAUAUGGGCCCUGUUCACCACUGGAGCCUCCCUGUAUGUCCCUGUACCUUGCAGACUGUGCUUACUUCCAGGAACACUUGCUGGUUUGAGUUGUUUAUGUCUCCUGAGAGGCUGGGCUUACAUCACAGUCUGUGAUCUCUCAUCUGAUGAAGCAGGCUCCUUGAGGUUCUUUCUGCAAUUGAGCAAAGAGGAAGUAUUAGCAACUGUGUAACAGAGAUGCUGAGAAGCAAUUAGCCCAGAUGCUAAUUUCAUCAGAAAUAGACAUCAAAGCCCUCAUUCCCACCUUCUUUGAAAAUGAGGAAGGGAAUUAUGCAGUGGCUAAGGAAUCCAUGCGAUUGUCCUUGUGCGUAAGCUCCGGUGCCUGUAUCUGUGGGGUGGGCAAGGCAGAGAGGGGUCGGUUCUGGGUUAUCAUGGGAUGCCUCCCCCUGAGCCGACCAAGGAGGGAUUAUAUUGCAGUGGGACCUGGAUUCUCAUCCUUCUUAUUCCUGGAUAUGUGAUGUUAGCCAGUCUCCUGUGCUCUCUGAGUCUCAGCUGGUAUUUGUAAAAUUGGGUCGACAUUACAUGACUGCUCCAAACGUGCCAGUUCCUGCCUGCCUUUGAACACGGGCCUGACAAGGGAACACCGUGCUAGCACUCAGGGACCACAGUGUCACCUAGAGGGACUGAUGGGCAAGAAAAUCUAGUAGAGAGAUGAUUUCGGUGUACCUUAACAGUGUACCUGGGAGGGAGAGAAAGUGGGCUUGUAAGUCUGAAGGAAGAAGUAGAAGAAAGCGAUAAAAAGUGCUUUAUAAACCUUCUCUACAUCUGAAUAAACU